GCAAGUCGAACGAAGUAGCAAUACUUAGUGGCAGACGGGUGAGUAACAUGUAGGUAUCUACCCUGUGGCCUGGAAUAACACGAGGAAACUUGUGCUAAUACCGGAUAAGUCUUUACGGAGAAAGCUUUAUGCACCAUUGGAUGAGCCUGCACUUGAUUAGCUUGCUGGUAGGGUAAUGGCCUACCAAGACUUUGAUCAAUAGCUGAUUUGAGAGGAUGAUCAGCCACAUUGGGACUGAGACACGGCCCAAACUCCUACGGGAGGCAGCAGUGGGGAAUCUUGCACAAUGGAGGAAACUCUGAUGCAGCGAUGCCGCGUGAGUGAAGAAGGCCCUUGGGUUGUAAAGCUCUUUCGUCGGGGAAGAAAAUGACUGUACCCGAAUAAGAAGGUCCGGCUAACUUCGUGCCAGCAGCCGCGGUAAUACGAAGGGACCUAGCGUAGUUCGGAAUUACUGGGCUUAAAGAGUUCGUAGGUGGUUGAAAAAGUUGGUGGUGAAAUCCCAGAGCUUAACUCUGGAACUGCCAUCAAAACUUUUCAGCUAGAGUUUGAUAGAGGAAAGCAGAAUUUCUAGUGUAGAGGUGAAAUUCGUAGAUAUUAGAAAGAAUACCAAUUGCGAAGGCAGCUUUCUGGAUCAAUACUGACACUGAAGAACGAAAGCAUGGGUAGCGAAG
rnacentral:rRNA from 1 species